ensembl:lncRNA
CGGCUCUAAGAGACAGACACAAUGAGAACACAUCAUAUAGACCUCUCGCAGAUCGCCAGGUUUCGUUUAAAAAGUUAUUAUUGUAUUUAAAAUAGUUUUGCAUCUCUCUUAAAACAAUUGCCAUUUGUGUUCUUCCGUUUAGGAAAACAUAAUAAAUUAAAAAGUAACAAAAUAUUGUAUAUCCCGUAUACUGUAUAUUGGAACUCCUCUUUUGUGUCCCCUUCACAUGGUCCGCUUGAGAAUAAGCGGUAGGGUAUGUCAUAAAAACAAAAAAUAAAAACCUAUCAAAAUAUUACGUAAAAAUAUGACAUUUUUUUCAGUUAAAAACCAAAUGGCUUUAAAUGCCAUCAUUAAUGCAUUUAACCCCUCGACAGACGCACAGCUUGGUUUACAGUCCAAGACCUCACUGAAAGGGCGGUAAGCCUGGAUUCGUGAACAAACUUAUAUUCUAUAUUAUUAGUCUGCCAAAGUCAGGGGGAACUGUUGGCCAUAGAUCUUCAUUAGCAUGUAGCGUAGCAUGUAGCGUAGCAUGUGUGCUCGGGACCCAACACUUUCACAUCUGGUGACGUCACACAUGCUCUAGCCCCAUCUGAAAUGUAAUUUCCAGUGGAAUAGGAUUUAAAAUAGGCCGGCAGUACAAGCUCAGUCUCGCGACUGGAAGCCGGCAGCUGUGAUCCGAUCGAGCACUACCAGGGCCAGGUGAAAACCACCGCCAACACAUCCUCAUCCUCGUCUCCCUCGGCUACCGUCCCACUUCCUCUCUGUGCCGUCGACGCCGCUUUCAAAAAUAAAGGUUCAGUUUGAGCAGGGGGGGGAGGAAACCAUUCCAUCUUUUUUUUCAGGUUAGGCCUUUUAGCGAGGUAUGAACUGUCUUGAAUGCAGCAUGAUCAAACGGUGGCGUUUCACGUGACCCCAGCAACAUUAAAUAACAAUACGCCCUCUGGCUCAGAGCACGGCAGCCUGGUCGCCUGGAGCAGCAUCACACGCGCAUGCUCCACUACCAUGAAAAAAUAUGUUAUAAAAAGGACCCAAGAUGUCAAAUAAGCGUCUCGAAUUGAAAGGCGAUCCAAAGCAGGCCUCUGAAUCGCUGCUAGGACAGAGGCAGAGCAGAGGGGUCGACCAUCCACUGAGGGCUGGCCAGUGAAGCUUUCAAUCAUCGCCAUGACCAGAGUUCCCCGGAGGUCAACGAGGUAUGUGCCCUUUAGGGGGUACCUGGGGGUGCUUCCAGCAGACCCAUCCUGAGGCUGCGCGUGAUUGGCUGUUCAAAAGAUACAACGUCCAAUCAGACACAGCCAGUUAAGCCGGCCAAUAAGGGGGAACACCGUGUGGUGGUCCGAUCAGGGGGCGUGGCCUCCAAUCUCUGGGCUGCCUGCGUUACGCACCCAACGACACAUACCCUGUUGCACUCUGGGUAGUUCUUCAGUAAUGACGACCACUAGACAGACAGCUUGGCCGUGGGUCUGUCUGCAAAGGGGGGGGAGGAUCUCGUAGGUACGGCAUUGGUAUGCCAACCAGGGUUUGGCGGACGCAGUCAAUGCGUUGGUUUUAAAAGCUGCGACGUCUGAAGGCAGAAGUCUUUGGCCUCAGUGGAACAUCAGACCCCCCUGACUCACCCCAGGAGACCCCCACUCGGGGACCACGUCUGCAGACUGCCCGGGGUGCAGAGAACGAAACAUACAGUGGAUUCCCAGGGUGUGUUUGUGUGCAUGGGCAUCGCGCACGCAACCGCAGGUCAGCGUUCGGAAUCUGAUGGUUUUGUUUUUCGUCGUUAUUUCUUUUUAAAGUGCAUAUGGAUCCUAUAGGUCCUAAAUAUGGAGACGAUGUUGCCUCGACGUUGAUGGUUCGCAUUGAACUUAGGAACCGCCGGGAGUCAUAAACUAUACAUGUACAUAUAUACAUCAGACCGCUACUGAGACGGGGGUUGCUAGGGGGUCCAUAGCAACACUACAGAGGUGCCACCCAUGCACUUGUCGACCUGGUUGCGUGCGGCCGCAUACACCCUCACACGGGGACAACAUUGACAGCAGGCAGUAGAAAAUAAAACGGCACAGAACAGCAGUGGACUACAUGCGGACAAGGUUGGCUGGAGAGAACCGAACACCAAAAUGUUAACUGGGAACAGCACCUCCUCUGGUGACUCGGGGGUAUUACAACUGCUUUUAUUUAUUUCGUGAUUGACUGGAAUUGGAGCCAAUCGGGGAAUGGGAUGGCGGUAGGCUGCGUUUUGGGCGCAGUGCUCAUUGAGGGAGGUCAGUGCUCGGUUUUCCGCCGGACCUUGUACUCUGUGGUCGAUCACACGGUUUCUUUAUCAAGGGUAUUUCAUAUCAAAAAUUCAAAUUUUGUGAAAAUAAACAUUUCAAGGGACAUAGUAAACGAUACAGUGAUUUGACACAGCUUCAAGUUUUGUCUGACAUCCUCCCUUGUGUUCGGAUAACAUAGAUAGUAGACAUUGUGACCCCAAAAUAAUUUAAUUCUAAACAAUAGCUUAAAAAAAGGAAAAUAAAAAACAAACAUUGAGUGUGAAGUAACUGAUGAAUGGUGUGCUCUGUGUGUUGUGUGUUCUGCAGUGUUUUGUGUUCUUGUGAGUGUGUGCGCGUGGGUUCUUGUGUGUGUGCGCGUGUGUUCAUGUGUUUGUAAGGUGUUUCUUUUGCAAGGCAGCGAGUGAGGCGCUGUCUGGGACUCAAUCACAUCUCUCUAUGCCCUGAUAGCUCCGAAACAUUUUGACUAUGCAUCGUAAGCCCUGCUGGACUGACCACACAUUCCUUUCACUAAUUCUCUCUCCCUCUCUCCCUUUCUCUAGCUCGCAGUCUGUCCCUCCAUGUCUCUCUCUCUCUCUCUCUCUCUCUCUCUCUCUCUCUCUCUCUCUCUCUCUCUCUCUCUAUCUCCCUCCCUGUCUCUCCCUGUCUCUCUCUUCUCUCUCUCGCUCGCUCGCUCGCUCUGUCUGUCUGUCCUGGUCUUCCCUCCAGUGUCUCUUUGUCUUCCACAACAUGAACCGUUCACUCAUUCAUUGGGGGAAAAUAGCUCCCACAGUCGUCUGUACACACUGCCCUAUGCACUAUAACAACCGUCACCCCCCC